rnacentral:lncRNA from 10 species
AAAUCAAUCACGACCCUUUCAUGUGAAAUCUUUAAUGUUGUGAACCCUUAAAAGGGACAGAAAUUGUGCACUCGGGGAGCUCGGAUUUUAAGGCAGUAGCUUGCCGAUGCUCCCAGCUGAAUAAAGCCCUUCCUUCUACAACUCGGGGUCUGAGAGGUUUUGUCUGCGGCUCAUCCUGCUACAAGCCUGCACUAGGCAACGCUGAAGCCACAGAAGACACCGCAGUGGGAAAACCAGCAUAAGCCGCUGCCCCCAAGGAACCUCAAAGCCCAGGCAGAGGACCAGCCAUCCCAGUCGCACAGGUGGGAUUUAUCCUCUUUAAGACAACUUCCUGACCUCGGACACAUAGAAGGCUGCUGAAGGCAAUGGUGGAUCCUUUCAUUUCAAACAAAAUCACAUUCAAUUUUUUUGAGAGCUGCAGGCCUGGGUGGUGUUAAAUUGUGUCAUUUAGUAUUAAAGAAACACGAUAAAACUUUCAAAGACUGAUCAUGUGUCUUGGCUGUUUACUGUGGAAAGCUUAAAAGGAAGAGCUUCCAGAGAUCCUGAUCAAGAUGACCAAAUAGGAACAGCUCUGGUCUGCAGUUCCCAGCAAGAUGGACACAGAAGGCAGGUGAUUUCUGCAUUUCCAACUGAGGUACCUGGUUCAUCUCAUUGGGACUGGUUAGACAGUGGGUGCAGCCCACGGAGGGCGAGCUGAAGCAGGGUGGGGCGUCGCCUCACCUGGGAAGCACAAGGGGUCAGGGAAUUUUCUCCCCUACCCAAGGGAAGUUGUGAGGGACCAAGCCUGAGGAACCGGGGUCCAGAUACUGUGCUUGUCCCAUG